AUGUCGAGAACAUUCGUAGCCCGUCGUAGAGAUAGGUCUGUCGUUCGGGACCCCCCAGACAGGUGGUGCAUGGUUGUCGUCAGCUCGUGUCGUGAGAUGUUGGGUUAAGUCCCGCAACGAGCGCAACCCUUGAUCUUAGUUGCCAGCACUUCGGGUGGGCACUCUAAGGUGACUGCCGGUGACAAACCGGAGGAAGGUGGGGAUGACGUCAAAUCAUCAUGCCCCUUAUGACCUGGGCUACACACGUACUACAAUGGCCGGUACAACGGGCUGUGAAGCCGCGAGGUGGAACGAAUCCUAAAAAGCCGGUCUCAGUUCGGAUUGCAGGCUGCAACUCGCCUGCAUGAAGUCGGAAUUGCUAGUAAUCGCGGAUCAGCAUGCCGCGGUGAAUACGUUCCCGGGUCUUGUACACACCGCCCGUCACACCACGAGAGUUUAUAACACCCGAAGUCGGUGGGGUAACCGCAAGGAGCCAGCCGCCGAAGGUGAUAGAGUGGC
rnacentral:rRNA from 1 species